rnacentral:rRNA from 1 species
GAUGAACGCUGGCGGCGUGCCUAAUACAUGCAAGUCGAGCGAACAGACGAGGAGCUUGCUCCUCUGACGUUAGCGGCGGACGGGUGAGUAACACGUGUAUAACCUACCUAUAAGACUGGGAUAACUUCGGGAAACCGGAGCUAAUACCGGAUAAUAUAUUGAACCGCAUGGUUCAAUAGUGAAAGACGGUUUUGCUGUCACUUAUAGAUGGAUCCGCGCCGCAUUAGCUAGUUGGUAAGGUAACGGCUUACCAAGGCAACGAUGCGUAGCCGACCUGAGAGGGUGAUCGGCCACACUGGAACUGAGACACGGUCCAGACUCCUACGGGAGGCAGCAGUAGGGAAUCUUCCGCAAUGGGCGAAAGCCUGACGGAGCAACGCCGCGUGAGUGAUGAAGGUCUUCGGAUCGUAAAACUCUGUUAUUAGGGAAGAACAAAUGUGUAAGUAACUAUGCACGUCUUGACGGUACCUAAUAAGAAAGCAACGGCUAACUACGUG